GACAGAGGGUGCAAACGUUGUUCGGAAUUACUGGGCGUAAAGGGUGCGUAGGUGGCGAGGUAAGUUCGAUGUGAAAUCUCCGAGCUCAACUCGGAAAUGGCAUUGAAUACUAUCCCGCUGGAGGGUCGGAGGGGAGACUGGAAUUCUCGGUGUAGCAGUGAAAUGCGUAGAUAUCGAGAGGAACACCAGUGGCGAAGGCGAGUCUCUGGACGACUCCUGACACUGAGGCACGAAAGCUGGGGGAGCAAACAGG
rnacentral:rRNA from 1 species